GCAGGAAACCCAAACCGCGCCGAGUCAAAAUGUUUUGAUGGAGUGGAAAAGACAACAAUUUCCCGCGAAUGUAUUAUGUUCAUUUGAAGGACGUACAACUAGCGUCAGGCUGCAUCUUUUCCGCGCACGGGAUGGCUCAGUGAUUCCCCUACAGGACUUUUUAGCGCCGCCAUGGCGCCGCCAAGCAGCUUAUCCAUCAACACGGCUCUGUCGGACGAGAGCGAAGACAACGAGCCGCUCCUCGGCGAUGACACAGUUCCUCCUCAGUGCUGCUCGGCUCGCCUCAAUCUGGCCGUCCUGAUGUUCCUGGGCUUCUCCGUGGUCUACGGCUUGCGCGUCAACCUCAGCGUGGCCAUGAUCGCCAUGGUGAACACCACCGAUUCGGGGCCGGGCCGCAACAGCUCCGUCGCCCACGCUUGUCCUCUUCCUGCCGGGUCUGAGAACAGCAGCGGGACGUUUGAGCAGCCUGACGGGACCCCCCAGUACCCAUGGGACGCGGAGACUCAAGGCUGGCUGCUUGGGGCUUUCUUCUUUGGCUACCUGUGCACACAGAUCCCAGGGGGUUACCUGUCCGGCCAUUAUGGAGGGAGCAUCUUCCUAGGUUUGGGCGUGCUGAGCACGGCCGCUCUCACUCUCCUCACCCCCCUGGCCGCCCAGUGGGGGCCCUACUGGCUGUUUGCAUUGCGAGCCCUGGAGGGACUGGGGGAGGGUGUGACGUUCCCCGCCAUGAUGGCGAUGUGGGCCCGCUGGGCUCCGCCUCUGGAGCGCUCUCGCCUGAUCACGAUCUCGGGCUCCGGGUCCAACUUUGGAGCCUUCUUGGCUAUGCCUCUCACCGGCUACCUCUGCCAAGCGCUGGGCUGGCCCGCUGUCUUCUACCUCUGCGGGGGCGCCGGGUGCCUCUGGGCGGUUCUUUGGUUCAUGUUCGUGUCGGACGACCCCCGCACUCAUCGGCGAAUCAGCAAAGAGGAGAGAGAUUACAUCGUCGACUCCAUCGGGCGUCAGGGCGGGGGCCACGGCUGGUCUGUGCCCCUCCUGCGCAUGAUGAUGUCAGUGCCGCUGUGGGCCAUCAUCGUGACGCAGAUGUGUUCCAACUGGUCCUUCUACACGCAGCUCACCUCCCUGCCCACCUACAUGAACAACAUCCUGCACUUUGACCUCAAGUCGAACGGCUUCCUCUCCGCCCUGCCCUACCUGGCCGCCUGGCUGUGCUCCGUGCUGUCCGGCUUCCUGGCCGACAGCCUCAUCGAGAAGAAGGUGUUCAGCGUCACGACCAUACGCAAGCUCUUCACGCUCACAGGUAUGCUGCCACCUGCCGGCUUCCUGCUCGCCGUGGCCUACGCCGGCUGCAACCACGUCCUCACCAUCACCUUCCUCACGCUGGCGUCGGCCGUCGCGGGCGCCAGCUCGCCCGGGGUCUUCAUCAACCAGAUAGACAUCGCCCCCAGGUACGCCGGCUUCCUCCUGGGAAUCACCAACAUGUUCGGCACCAUCCCCGGAGUCAUCGCCCCGAUUGUUACGGGAUAUUUCACAGAGGACCACACCUUGGCCGGCUGGAGGAAAGUGUUCUGGGUCUCCGCCGCCAUCAACGUGGGCGGCGCUUUCUUCUACACGCUGUUUGGCAGCGGCGACAUCCAACCGUGGGCCGUCGCGGAGGACGACGACGAGGGCGCCAAAAGGGAGCGGAAGCGCUCCAACUCCACGUGAACCCAAGUAAUAAGACGUUUAUUCCACGUUUGUAAGCUCCAUUCUUCACCUAAAAGACAUCCAGAAUGUUCCAAAGAGCUGGGCCGCACCCUACAUUAGGACCUAUGGAGGAAACUACCUACUAUUACUACUACUACCUAGCAACUAUGCAGUAAACUUUCCGCACAACACAGCAAGUAUUUAAAAAUCUAAAUAUUGUUGUUACGUGUUGUUAUGUGUUUUUUUUUUUUUAUACAUACUAUUAAUUGUUUUUUUUAUAGCUUUUUCAAUGGGUGUUUGUUGUUUUCAUAUAGAACCUGAAUGCCGCUUUAGCUACACUUGUGUGGCACCGCUUUUGUAUAUUUUGGACUUCCAAAGAAGCACUUUUUAUAUUCAAUACACCAAAAGCCUUACGUUUAAUAAAACAAUAGCUCAGGGGUGUCCGCACACUGAAAAAUCUUAACAUACGGGUGCCAUUUUGAUCUUUUCAAUGGUCAAAACCAGGGGUCCCCAAACUUUUUGACCCGGGGGCCGUAUUGGGUUAAAAAAAUUUGACCAGGGGCCGCGCUAUAUAUAUAUAUGAAUGAAUGAAUGAAUGAAUGAAUGGUCUUUAUUGUCAUUGUGCAUGUACAGGUACAGGUCCAACGAAAUUUAGGUUGCUUCCCUAAGGUGCUUUGCAUUUAAAAAAAAGAAGAAACCACACAAUAUACAAAAACAACACAAUAUACACAAUAUGCAAUAUGGCCUAAGACCACUCUAAGAGGCAAUGU